CUGACUCCUUUACUUUAGAAGAAAAAAUUGGUAAUUGAGAAAGUUUAGGUUUACCUGAAACUGCUGCAUAAAUAUUAACAUCUAAACCUGGUUUGGUUGCUUGAGAUGAUUAUUCUCCUCCAGAUUUUGAUGCUUCUUUCUUAGUUUCCAGUCUCAAUUCUUUUUCUGGAAGUUAACCAUAUGCAAUUCUUUUUUUAGAUUGUUUUUUGUUCCUUUGGAGUGGUGCUAGUGCAAGGAUCUGUUUGGAUCUUGAUCUGAGAGCAUUUAUUUGCAGUAUGCCCCAAUCUUCCGCAAGUUGUACAGAAAAAUCCUUAUCCUUCUUACAAGAUAGGCUGUAUGAGCUCUCCGAUUUUGAUAGAGCUCAAAACUGGUUUUUCAAAAGGAAUUUGGACACAUAAUCUUACAUAUCUACCUCUUAAGAUGGAGCUAGUGCAUACAUCGAUCUUUAAUAGUUUUCCAAUGAAAUUAUCCACUUUUUUUAAUAUCUUUUCAUCAUAAAAAUCUGUAGUUAAUUGAGGUAAUCUAUCCAAAUGUCUAAGUAUGUUAGAAUUCCUUUUCUGGGACAAAAUUUUGCUUCCAUCUUUGUAUAUUAAGGAAGUGGUUAUUAAUAAACCACGGUCCAUUGUAAAGUGUCUGGACCAUAUUUUCCUCUUUGUAAAAAUUUCACAAAUAAUAGUCUUCUACCAGGUCAAUUUGGGGAAAAGUUUCAGAUGGCUUCAAAAGUUGUAUGACUUUUGUCUUCAGAUAUUGAUGAGCAAUUCUCUUUAGAAAUGAGUUUAAUGAUGAGGGCGUAUUUCCAAGGUGAGUGUUUUCCAAAAUUCUGAGGAACCUGACGAUGCUAAAUAUAUACUCUCAAUUGCUGAAUUUUGGUUGACUUAAUUCCCUCUGAUUAUUGGGUUCUAAUGUUGUCUUCAGACGUAAUGUGUUGUCCAGACACACAACUUAUUUCUGCUUGCAACCAAGAAUAUUGAUGCUCUGCCUGCAACCAAGAAUAUUUUACUGUUCAAGUAUCUUUUGGCAUGCUUGCUUGUUUGAGUAUUUCGUGUAUCGAUGCUUAGAAAAAAGAAGAAGCUAUUUCUGUGAUAGUUCUAUUUGUCUAGACUCUCGACUUCACUUAUCUUCGAUCAAUUUCAAGUUGUAACUAUAACCCGGAC